AUGAAGCCCUCUCUACUCCCACACCCUCAGGCACAAAUCGAUGCCUUCCUGGUGUUCCUGCCCUCUCUCAGAACUGCAGGAGGGCAAGCACAGAGAAGAGGACUAAACAAAGAAAGACCAUAAAGCUUCUGAAUCUCAAUUACCACAACUGCCAACACUGGGUUCAAAUGUGGAUGGAUAGCAUGAGCUCUCAUGUUGCUUGCAGCAGCCAGGUACUUGACAGAGUGAUAUGCAAGCUGGAGACUACUUGGACAUCUGUACAAACUCAGCAAGUAGAAUGACAAAGAAAUGCCACGG
rnacentral:lncRNA from 1 species